rnacentral:rRNA from 1 species
CCUACGGGCGGCAGCAGUGGGGAAUAUUGCACAAUGGGGGAAACCCUGAUGCAGCGACGCCGCGUGCGUGAAGAAGUACUUCGGUAUGUAAAGCUCUAUCAGCAGGGAAGAAAAUGACGGUACCUGAGUAAGAAGCCCCGGCUAACUACGUGCCAGCAGCCGCGGUAAUACGUAGGGGGCAAGCGUUAUCCGGAUUUACUGGGUGUAAAGGGAGCGUAGUCGGCAGUGCAAGUCUGGAGUGAAAGGCGGGGGCUCAACCCCCGGACUGCAGUGGAAACUGUACGGCUGGAGUGCAGGAGAGGUAGGUGGAAUUCCUAGUGUAGCGGUGAAAUGCGUAGAUAUGAGGAGGAACACCAGUGGCGAAGGCGGCUUACUGGACUGUAACUGACGUUGAGGCUCGAAAGCGUGGGGAGCAAACAGGAUUAGAUACCCGUGUAGUC